AUGUUCCUAGUGAUUGCAUGAUUAGAAACUAUUCUAGGAAGUGCAUUAAUUUUCGUGUCCUAGUUAUUUACCUCAUCUAAAAGGCGAGUUGCCAAAGUGAACAUUUUCAAGCAUGAAUGAUCCUCUGAGAACUUAGUUAUAGGGAUAGGUAGGCAUUCUUCAGCAUGUUGAAUUCUAAUACUGCUCCUAUAACCAGAGCUUCCGAAAACCACUGAACCAUCUGCCCUGGGAAAACUCCCUCUGGAUUUCACUUGGCAGAGAGCAGGAAUUACCCCUGCAGGGAAGCAUCAACUUAAAUGGUAAAUAACAGUCUUACCUGGUAGGGCCAGGAUUGUACCCUAAAGGCAACCUCAUUAGAACACUGUAUAUUCUCUGAAAACAGAUGUUCUCUAUUUGUAGGGUGUAGUUCUUUUCUCUCUCUAAUUAAGUGAUGUUUCUGCUUCCCCUGUAACUUCCUCCUUCUCUGUCUCAGACUUUCCCAUAGAUUGCAUUUUCCCACUGCAUAGAACUGCUCCCUGCUAAAAACCACUCACUGGGAUGAAACCAAUCCUGUUUAACCCCAAACUGGGCCUCGUGGCCAUACCAGUGAUUUCCAUUAAAUCUUUCUAUACCGAGGUGGAUGGGACAGAUCAACCUUAGGUCACCCUGGAUUUCUAGGUUGAGACCAUGUAUAAAUGAUGUAAUCCUUAUCUCUCAAAGGAGUCUCCACACUGAUGUAAUCACAAAUUCACUCUCAUCUUUGUUACAUCUCCAUUUUACAUUCAAGGAAACUGAGGAAGAAAGUAAAUGACAUGCCUAAUUUUACACAGCUACUGAACUAAGAUUAAAACAGAAUUUCUUCUAACUCCAAUUCCAACACUCUCUCCACUGAGUCACCUGGAAAAAUAUUGACUAUAUAUCCUCUGUAAAAGGAUUUUUAAGCUGAGAAGAUUUAAAUGGAAUGUUACGGCAUCACUGAUGGGAGGAUCAACUCCAAAGAGAUCAAAACUCCUCCAUGAUAUUUAGAAAUAACAAGGCAAAUGGAUCUUUAGAGAUUGCUUGCCAACUAGUUGUCAACAAGGAGAUACCAUACACAUAUUAAUCACUCUGGGAACUCCUUUGGGUAGAAAUCAAGCAACUGAUUAUAUCAUGACUCCAUACUAAUUUUAGGUUUAUUUCGCAAUCUGCCCACUGACAAAAAAGUUUUUUUUUUUUUGAUCACAGACAAUAAAUUUACACAAAAUAUAUUGCUUCCUUGGACCCUAACUUAGAUAGACCUCCUUAUAAAAUUAAUUUCAUUUUUAUCUUCAGUCACAUUGGAAAGGGGCCACCGGUACUAGGAGAAAAGGCAAUAUGUAAGUAUCCUGAAGUAUUGAAACAGUCAGGCGAUUUAUGUUUCUGAAAAAAAAGAAUAUCUCUGUAAUGCUUUUUGUUUGUUUGUUUUUUAAAUUAGAAUCUGGAUUGAAAGGCCCAAUUAAUAUCAUCUUAUGUCUUUUAUUUCUAGUGUCCACAACGAUGAUGCAUCAGCCAAAAGGAAUAAGACUAGAGAAAAAAUACUAAAGAAAACAAACGCAAGAUUUUAAUGUGAUGUAAAGAAUGGAUUUGUAAUUCUGGCCAGCAAUAGGUACAUUCAUUUAAAGAAUUCUUUCAUUUUGCCUUUCUACAACAACAGGUGCCAUAAAGAGUUAAUUGAGGCUGAAGAAUAUUCUAAUAACAUUUGCCAAAUGAACUUUAGGGGAGCUACAGUCUUACUGACAUCUGCUACCCUCCAAUAUGGUACUAGGCUGAAGGUCCUGACGAAGCACUGUGGAAAUUGAAAUCUGUUUAUCUUUGAGGACCAGAGGUCAGAAGGAUUUGAGAACACUUCAGUGAGAAGGAUGACUAGAAGUUGAAUCACAUCACUUUUAUCAAAGCAGGAGAUUGAUCAUCUAUUCCUCAGAGCAAAAAUCAAGACUCUAUAUCAGCGGGCCACAUUCUAACCCUCCAAACCCAUUAUGUUCUACAAACACCCUUCUGGGCUAACCAGGAAACCUUUUACAUCUCCCCAUAUACCUUUGUCAAACCCAUCUCCUUUCUCAUAUUGCUACCUUCAACUAAAUGACUUCAUGGUUCCAUUCAGUCAAGUCGUAUACAUCAAGAUCAAUGAAGAUCUCCUUCAAAGCAAUCCUACUGCAGUAAACCUUUUCUGAUUCAUGUCAUUCCCAUUCUCAUCCUGCACUUUUGUGACACUCAGAUAUUCGGCUUUUGUAUAUUCAUGUACUUGUUUCUAUUCCACUGAGCUUAUUAAAAAGAGCCAAAAGGUCUGGACUUCUACUCUAA